GCCGGGCACGGUGGCUCAUGCCUGUAAUCCCAGCACUUUGGGAGGCCGAGGUGGGUGGAUCACCUGAGGUCGGGAGUUCAAGACCAGCCUGACCAACAUGGAGAAACCCCAUCUCUA
rnacentral:SRP_RNA from 1 species